UAGCAUAUCAAUAAGCGGAGGAAAAGAAACCAACAGGGAUUGCCUCAGUAACGGCGAGUGAAGCGGCAACAGCUCAAAUUUGAAAUCUGGCGGCCUCUGGGCCGUCCGAGUUGUAAUUUGAAGAGGAUGCUUUUGGCGAGGCGCCUUCCGAGUGCCCUGGAACGGGACGCCACAGAGGGUGAGAGCCCCGUAUGGUUGGACGCCGAGCCUCUGUAAAGCUCCUUCGACGAGUCGAGUAGUUUGGGAAUGCUGCUCAAAAUGGGAGGUAAACCCCUUCUAAAGCUAAAUACUGGCCAGAGACCGAUAGCGCACAAGUAGAGUGAUCGAAAGAUGAAAAGCACUUUGAAAAGAGAGUUAAACAGCACGUGAAAUUGUUGAAAGGGAAGCGCUUGCGACCAGACUUGUGCCCGUCGAAUCAGCCGCCGCUCGUCGGCGGCGCACUUCGGCGGGCUCAGGCCAGCAUCAGUUCGCUGCAGGGGGAGAAAGGCGAUGGGAAUGUGGCUCUUCGGAGUGUUAUAGCCCGCCGCGCAAUACCCCUCGGCGGACUGAGGACCGCGCAUCUGCAAGGAUGCUGGCGUAAUGGUCGUCAGCGACCCGUCUUGAAACACGGACCAAGGAGUCGUCCUAAUAUGCGAGUGUUCGGGUGUAAAACCCCUGCGCGUAAUGAAAGUGAACGGAGGUGAGAGCUUCGGCGCAUCAUCGACCGAUCCUGAUGUUCUCGGAUGGAUUUGAGUAAGAGCAUAUUGGGCCGGACCCGAAAGAAGGUGAACUAUGCCUGUAUAGGGUAAAGCCAGAGGAAACUCUGGUGGAGGCUCGCAGCGGUUCUGACGUGCAAAUCGAUCGUCAAAUAUGGGCAUGGGGGCGAAAGACUAAUCGAACCUUCUAGUAGCUGGUUUCCGCCGA
rnacentral:rRNA from 1 species